UACGUAGGGGGGCAAGCGUUGUCCCGGAAUCAUUGGGCGUAAAGAGCGUGUAGGCGGUUCGGUAAGUCGGCUGUGAAAGUCCAGGGCUCAACCCUGGGGAUGCCGGUCGAUACUGCCGGACUAGAGUUCGGAAGAGGCGAGUGGAAUUCCCCGGUGUAGCGGUGAAAAUGCGCAGGAUAUCCGGGGAGGAACACCUAUGGGCGA
rnacentral:rRNA from 1 species